rnacentral:rRNA from 1 species
UGGGGAAUUUUGGACAAUGGGCGAAAGCCUGAUCCAGCAAUGCCGCGUGUGUGAAGAAGGCCUUCGGGUUGUAAAGCACUUUUGUCCGGAAAGAAAACGUCGUGGUUAAUACCCGUGGCGGAUGACGGUACCGGAAGAAUAAGCACCGGCUAACUACGUGCCAGCAGCCGCGGUAAUACGUAGGGUGCAAGCGUUAAUCGGAAUUACUGGGCGUAAAGCGUGCGCAGGCGGUUCGCUAAGACAGAUGUGAAAUCCCCGGGCUUAACCUGGGAACUGCAUUUGUGACUGGCGGGCUAGAGUAUGGCAGAGGGGGGUAGAAUUCCACGUGUAGCAGUGAAAUGUGUAGAGAUGUGGAGGAAUACCGAUGGCGAAGGCAGCCCCCUGGGCCAAUACUGACGCUCAUGCACGAAAGCGUGGGGAGCAAACA